CCCGGUCUUAUCAUCAUGCCUCUGGAUUUUUAAGGCAUCUGUUGGCUGUAAAUAUCUAUGUUUACUAAAACUCAUGGUGACAGCAGUAGAGUAUUACUCCUUGAUCAAAGAAAGAUAUCCAGAGUUACAAGUCCUGGCUUCAGUGUCCACGUCUCAGCUGGCUUGGGAUAUGAACUUGGAUGAGCAUACAUCAUUCAGUGAGCUUCCCACUGGCUGCCGCCCCCAGUGUACUCCUUCAAAGAGGCCUAAAGAUCUGGUGGAACAGAGCAUUUGCAGAAGUUAGUGCACACAGAAUUACAUUCUGCAGUUUAACUUUAUGUACUUUAUCUUUGUGAUUGAAGAAGGACAAAAGGAGACGAAACCCAGAAGGCCUGAUAGAUCUGCGUGCAUGGGGAACCUAUUCUGCUGGAAACUGGAGAAAUACCUUUGAGGUUACUGGAUCCUGCAAGUGAGGAGCAUCUGACUAAUAUGCUGCAAACUGAGACACCACAACAGUGGAUCUCCUGAAGGUUACCUCCAAUUUGCUCUGGGCUUCCAAAGACAGAUUCAACCCAGCAUCAUGGCAAUUUUAUUUUUGAAAGAGCAAAGGGAACUACACUCUAAGCCUCUCUAAGCACAGAAGAACCGACCUUGGGAGGAUUCCUCCAAAUUUCUUGAAGAUCUGUAGCCAAGAACCAGAAUUGGCAGAACUUUCCA